rnacentral:rRNA from 1 species
GUGAGUAACGCGUGAGAAUCUGCCUUCAGGAGGGGGAUAACGACUGGAAACGGUCGCUAAUACCGCAUAUGCCUACGGGUGAAAGAUUUAUCGCCUGGAGAUGAACUCGCGUCAGAUUAGCUAGUUGGUGGGGUAAGAGCCUACCAAGGCAGCGAUCGGUAGCUGGUCUGAGAGGAUGAGCAGCCACACUGGGACUGAGACACGGCCCAGACUCCUACGGGAGGCAGCAGUGGGGAAUUUUCCGCAAUGGGCGCAAGCCUGACGGAGCAACGCCGCGUGUGGGAAGAGGGCUCUUGGGCUGUCAACCACUUUUCUCAGGGAAGAAGUCCUGACGGUACCUGAGGAAUCAGCCUCGGCUAACUCCGUGCCAGCAGCCGCGGUAAUACGGAGGAGGCAAGCGUUAUCCGGAAUUAUUGGGCGUAAAGCGUCCGCAGGGGGCACUUCAAGUCUGCUGUCAAAGGUCGGAGCUUAACUCCGGUUCGGCAGUGGAAACUGGAGUGCUAGAGGGCGACAGGGGUAGAGGGAAUUCCCAGUGUAGCGGUGAAAUGCGUAGAGAUUGGGAAGAACACCGGUGGCGAAAGCGCUCUACUGGGUCGCACCUGACCCUCAGGGACGAAAGCUAAGGUAGCGAAAGGGAUUAGAUACCCCUGUAGUCUUAGCCGUAAACGAUGGAUACUAGGCGUGGUUUGUAUCGACCCAAGCCGUGCCGAAGCUAACGCGUUAAGUAUCCCGCCUGGGGAGUACGCACGCAAGUGUGAAACUCAAAGGAAUUGACGGGGGCCCGCACAAGCGGUGGAGGAUGUGGUUUAACUCGAUGCAACGCGAAGAACCUUACCAGGGCUUGACAUCCCGCGAAUCUUGCUGAAAGGUGAGAGUGCCUUCGGGAGCGCGGAGACAGGUGGUGCAUGGCUGUCGUCAGCUCGUGUCGUGAGAUGUUGGGUUAAGUCCCGCAACGAGCGCACCCGUCGUCAGUAGUUGCCAGCAUUAAGUUGAGCAGUGUAGGGAGACUUCCGGUGACAAACCGGAGGAAGGUGAGGAUGAGGUCAAGUCAGCAUGCUCCUUAUGCUCUGGGGGACACAUGUCCUUCAAUGGUGGGGACAAAGGGGAGCAAGCU